rnacentral:rRNA from 1 species
AUUGAACGCUGGCGGCAGGUCCAACACAUGCAAGUCGAGCGAGCGGCGGACGGGUGAGUAAUGUAUGGGGACUGCCCGAUAGAGGGGGAUAACUACUGGAAACGGUGGCUAAUACCGCAUACUAUCGGAUAACCCAUAUGGGAUUAGCUAGUAGGUGGGGUAAAGGCUAACCUAGGCGACGAUCUCUAGCUGGUCUGAGAGGAUGAUCAGCCCCACUGGGACUGAGACACGGCCCAGACUCCUACGGAGGCAGCGGGGGGGAAUAUUGCGACGUGGACACAAGCCUGAUGCAGCCAUGCCGGCUGUAUGAAAAGGGCCUUAGGGUUUUAAAGUACUUUCAGCGGGGGGGCGUUGACCGCGGGGGAGGCACCGGCUAACUCCGUGCCAGCAGCCGCGGUAAUAC